rnacentral:lncRNA from 1 species
CUUUAUUUUUCGUAUCUAUUUCACUAACGUUGUAUUUCUUUGAAUAUCUCGAUUGAGUAGUUUUACUUUGUUUAAUUUUGUUUAGCUCAAAAGAUCUCUUGGUUUGCUUCGGUUAAUCUUUCACUCAUCCAACGUUUGUAGGUAUAGUAAUGUCGUGUGAUUUAACCAUUUGUUCACUUCACACUCGCAAAUAAACUUUCUAAAGUAAAAGAGGUAAAUUUUGGUCUUUAAGUGCAAUCUCAAACAAAAUACAUUUCUUUUGGAAUUGAUUAAAAUGGUUAACAAUUGUUUUCGUUUUCAAAAAAAAUUGUUAAACAAACGUCUUUUUGUCACCUUAAAUGGACUUUUUCAAAUAAAUCACUAUAAAUAGGUUUCAAUUAGUUAAUCUGUUUAUGUUUGCAAGGAACUCAUCUCCCAAAUUCGAUUCUUUUAAUUAACUCAAUAUAAUUUAAGUAUUUAUUAUAUUUCAUAUUGAUUUCUAACUUUAUUUCAAAGUUUUCUUUUUCUUUAGAUUUUAAAAGUUUUUGAAAGGCAAGGUAUAUGUUUAUUCUUACGUCGCUACAUACAAGGUACAUUUUAUUUUAUUUUAUUUUUUAUUAUUAUUAUUAUCCUUUUCACUUCUAUUACAUAAUUUACAAGUUAUUUUUCAAUGCUAUUAUAUAAUGCACUUUAUUAUCACAUUUUAUUUCCGACUUAGUUUAGUCUAUUGGAAUUUCAUAAAUCAG